GAUGAACGCUGGCGGCGUGCCUAAUACAUGCAAGUCGAACGGAGAACUUCUGUAGCAAUACGAAGGUUUCUUAGUGGCGAACGGGUGAGUAACGCGUUGGUGACCUGCCCCAAAGUGUGGGAUAACAGUCCGAAAGGAUUGCUAAUACCGCAUGUGGCCAUCGGGUUUAGAAACCGAUGUCUAAAGCCGCAAGGCGCUUUGGGAGGGACCUGCGUCCCAUCAGCUAGUUGGCGAGGUAACGGCUCACCAAGGCUACGACGGGUAGGGGGCCUGAGAGGGUGGCCCCCCACAAUGGAACUGAAACACGGUCCAUACACCUACGGGUGGCAGCAGUAGGGAAUAUUGCACAAUGGGCGAAAGCCUGAUGCAGCAACGCCGCGUGAGCGAUGAAGGCCUUCGGGUCGUAAAGCUCUUUUCUGGGAGAUGAGGAAGGACAGUACCCCAGGAAUAAGUCUCGGCUAACUACGUGCCAGCCGCCGCCGUAACAC
rnacentral:rRNA from 1 species